UUUUUUAGGGUUAAAUGUCAACAUUUUAGACAAGUUUUCUAUUUUUAGGGACUGAUGUCAUUUUUUGAUGUGUUUACUAUUUUUAGGGACC
rnacentral:pre_miRNA from 1 species